UCUUCUUAGAGCUCCAUGAGAUCCUCUCCAAUGGAAAUCUUGUAACACCAAUAAACAUAGUGAAAUCCGUGGAUGUAGGUCUCAAGAGACCGAACCACGUAAAAAGAUCUGUGCCUCCUUUACUUUCAUGUUCUUUUAUCUUCUUUUAUGUAUGUUUUGAUGGUUAAGAUCAUCAUGGGUGUAGGCAUCAGAAAAGAUGCAACUACAUUUUGGCGCUAGAAACAGGACUAGAGUGAUGGAUUUAUCCAACCUAGUCCCUUAGAAGAUCAAUACUUCACUACCAGCAAGUUCUGUAAGAGAUCCAAUAGAGAUCCAGUUGAUACAAGAGUUUCAGGAGUAUUCUUGUCAAGGAAACAAGAGCUUCAGACAACAAAGUGUCUUGUCCGAUUCCAAACGAAGCUUCAGAUCCAGUUCAGACUCGGGCGAUUCAAGUGCUUCAAGGAUUUACUGGUAAUCGAUGAUAGAAGAAACUACGUCGGAAUCGGAGAAGCAACAGCAAAAAGUCACUCGGAGAAGAGAGCUUCAAAGCUACGUAGUGCUGGCCAAUUAAAGUCAUUCACCAAUUCUCAUCGGAAGGAUACACCAGUUCAUCUCCGAGUACCAACCAGAGCAACCAGAGCCCGGACUCAAACUGAUGAGUUUGGAGAAAAGACCAUCUGCAAAAUCGCAUUGGAGCAGUUCGCAACUACUCACCUCGAGACCAUCUCGUGAAGAACCAGCGAUCCAAUCUCGGACUCGCUCCAUAUCGGACAGCUCAACCAAGAGCACCAAUCUCGGAUGUCUCACUAUCUUAGCCUGAUUUUGGGCCUUUUUCUUCACUCUCCCUUCUUACUGCUUUACAUAGCAAUUUCAGAACGAGUUCAUUGAGCUUACUCACUUGAAUGAUUUGCUGUUACAGAAAAACGCUGAUGGACGAAAUCACAUCGGAAUCACCAGCUCGUGUUCAACUCGAGACCAACUCGCGGAGAAAUAACCAGCACAAUAGGAGCCAACCAGAGCUCGGACUCAUCAUUCUCAGACCACAGGCGAGGACAGAGUCAACCAACACGAUGAUGUUUAACCGAGUUCCAAUCUCGGACUCAAUCCAUAUCGGACAGCCCAAAUGGGAGCACGAUGGAGUCCAACCCAUAUCGUACCAGAGGCAACACGAUUAAGGUCGUGAAGAAGCAAUCGGAAGAAGCCAGAGCUCGGACAGCUCAUUUGCAACAAUCAUCUCGUACUGGAAAAGUAACCAUCACGAAGGGAGCCAGUCAGAGCAUGUUCUCGGACUCACCAGCCAUCUCGGACAGAUCCCAACUAGGAGAAACGAUCAACACGAUCGGAUAAAGAGCACGAACUCGGACUCAUCAGUUCAUCCCCGAGCACCAAUCUCGGACAGGCAAUCAACAGGGCAACCAGAGCAUGCACUCGGAUUGCACCUCGACAGUCGACACCAUACCAGGAGCACGAACUCGGACUCAUCAGUCCAUCUCCGAGCAGCAACUCGGACAACAUACCUUUUUUACCUUAUCUAAUAAUUAGUCUUUUGGUUUACGAUAGCUAAAUGACUGAUUCCUAUAUACUUAAAUAAUUGUUCAUUGAAUCAAAAUAAUUUUGAUAAAUUCCAUGAACAGCAGGUGAACGAUAAUAUACUCCACAAAGGCAUUCUUCAAUGUAAUCUAUCUUAGAUGGUUCAGCCAUGCUCGCCAGGCUUAUCUCGGAGCAACCAUCUCGUACUGGCAAAGCAAUCGUCACACUGGAGUUCAACCCAUAUCGUACUAGAGGCGAUGUCGGGCACAUCAGUGCAUCUCCAAGCAUUAUUAGGACAACAUUCCUUCCCAUAUCUCUUGAUUUCACACUUGACAUGCCAUAAUGUGCAGUCCUUUGAUUAAUGGCUAAAUGCUUACUAUCUAAA